GUCAGAUCCAAGUACAAGGGCACUGAUGUGAAUACUGUUUUGGAAUAUGUGAAUACGCCAUGGGACAAUAGUUCAGUGAUGCAGGAAAACGUGCUCUACUUCCGGUCAUCUGACGUCCUGUCCCCCCGACCCUCCCAGCGUGUCUCCCCC